rnacentral:rRNA from 1 species
GACGAACGCUGGCGGCGUGCCUAAUACAUGCAAGUUGAGCGAUGAAGAUUGGUGCUUGCACCAAUUUGAAGAGCAGCGAACGGGUGAGUAACGCGUGGGGAAUCUGCCUUUGAGCGGGGGACAACAUUUGGAAACGAAUGCUAAUACCGCAUAACAACUUUAAACAUAAGUUUUAAGUUUGAAAGAUGCAAUUGCAUCACUCAAAGAUGAUCCCGCGUUGUAUUAGCUAGUUGGUGAGGUAAAGGCUCACCAAGGCGAUGAUACAUAGCCGACCUGAGAGGGUGAUCGGCCACAUUGGGACUGAGACACGGCCCAAACUCCUACGGGAGGCAGCAGUAGGGAAUCUUCGGCAAUGGACGAAAGUCUGACCGAGAAACGCCGCGUGAGUGAAGAAGGUUUUCGGAUCGUAAAACUCUGUUGGUAGAGAAGAACGUUGGUGAGAGUGGAAAGCUCAUCAAGUGACGGUAACUACACAGAAAGGGACGGCUAACUACGUG